CGCUCGCUCGAGCUCGGCGCGGACCCGCCCGGGAGCGCUCCUCGCAGCAGCUGCCCGGGUUCCCACCGCCCUACCGGGCGCGAGCGAUCAGACUACCUCGGAGGGCGCGCUCAGACACCCAGAUGUCCGGCCACCUCAGUGGGUACCCUCGGCACCCUGUGAUCCGACCACCCGCGGAGGCGCGCUAGCCCUCUGGGUGGGCGUGCUGGGCUUCUCUGCGGCGGAAGUCUGGACCACAGAUUGUGACUUCUUUUCUAGCAGUAGGUGUUGACUGGUCCGACUGCUGCCCUUCUGCCCAAGAGUAGUUCAAACUGACCAGGUGUGACAUGGGCCCAAGGGAUGGACACAUGUCCAGUGCUGAUCACCCUGUUCCUUCUAGGUCUGACUGUGUUGUUCUGGAAGGGAAGAAAACAUAUGUGCUGCUUGGUCUGCCAUCUUAAACCAGAAGUCUGAAAUACGGGUCUGAAUGCUGCUCGCAAGGAUAUCUUACAUUGAGGAUAGCAGGCACCAGAGACUCUGUACCAUAAACAUUUCCACAAGAAACGGCCUCUAACUGAACCUGGAACUCACUGACUGAACUCGAGUUGCUGUUGAGAAAGCCCCAGGGACUGUUUGGUCUUCUCCCGCUCAAAAUUUGCGAUGCAGUGCCUCCUCAGGCCCAUCAAAGUCUUCCAGGAUCACGCAGAGGACCAUGCCACAGUCGGAAGUGAGGUAAACAAGUCUCCUCAUUGCUAUAUUUUGUAAUUAUCAGACAAGAGAGUGGAGUUCCCGCCUGAAGCCCCUCAGGCCUGUGUGAAGCUUAACCAUGUAUGUACUCAAUGUAGGUGUGAUCAGUUUUCAGAUCCAUGCAAAUGUGAGCUGACUUUCCCCUGAUGUUUGCUGAGUGCAUGCCAACAGCAUUCUGCAUGGCUAACCUGCCUCAGCAACCAAAUCCCUGGAACUGUCAUAUGCAGAGGGUCUGUGGUGUGGCCAUUUUAUAAAUGAGCCACGGGAAGGCCAGAGAAAGAAACAGCAUGCUCCAAGUCAGAGCAGAAGGCAGCUUCCCUAGGAUCUGUUUAAUGUUUGCUUCUUUACAACACAGGAUCUCGUGAAACCCAAGCUAGCCUCAGACUCAACUGCAUAGCUGAGGAUACCCUUGAACUUGAUUCUCUAAUAUUUCUACCUCAUACCCAGUUCAUGAGGUAAUGCGGAUAGAACCCAGGGCUUCCUGAAUACUAGGAAGGCACUCUACCAACUGAGCUACAUCCCCAGAUCCUCCUCUGGGGAUAAGCCCAGGUUCAAAUCCAAGGCCUUAACAACAUCGGGACACGGACAUAAGACACAGCACUCUACUGGACCUGGGCAUGCUCCUACCCUGUCUAGUGAUCGCAAAAGCCAUCUUUUUAACAGCCCGCGUUAUGAUUCUACCAUCAGACCAGAGAGGCCCUAGAUAGCCCAGCUUCCCAUUGUAAGUCAUCUUCGACAUGUUUAACCGAUGGCUGUGUGGGACUGCUAGAAAGUUUGGAAAUCACCAAGCGCUUUGACUUUCCUGCCCACAAAAACAGUUGGCCUUGGCAGAUGUCCAACGCGUUGACCUUAGAUCCAUUUAAUGAAAACCCUAUUAAUUCAAAAAGAAAGAAAGAAAAUAAGGCAAAAUAGGACAGGCAGUAGAAAGAUCUUUACAAAAAUCUUGUGUGCCCUUCCUCCACUGUUGCCUUGACCAGACAGGGCCACAAAGCUGAUACGACAGGAUUAGGACAAUUGCUUUGUUAACACACAAGCACAGCGUGACAUGAACUCCAGGAAAGGCAUUUGGCAGGAUUAACCUGCUGAGGAUAAAGAUGUAGCAGACGGGACCUGAAUUAAUGGACUGGUAUGGCCAAAGUGGAGAAAUCUAUUUGCAUGUAAUAUUAACUGUACUAAUAAACUCCAGGCGGGGAUCCAACAGCCCGGGAGCCUCUUUGAACCAGGACUUGAUCCCUGUACAUCCUAUCUCUGCUAAGAUGUGUGAGUGUAAGCCGGCUGCCUGCAGAUUACCACUCUGUCCUUGGUGCCUGCAAUAGCACAAGCCCUUUACUGACUGCAACUCAAGCAGAUCCCACUUACAAUAUUAUUUACAACCUAUGGAAAAGCAAUGAAGAAAUGCAGGUUCAACACAUGUAGAAAAUAUCCACCAGGGCCUGGAGAGAUGGCUCAGUAAUUAAGAGCCCUGGCUAUUCCUCCAGAGGACCCGGGUUCAAUUUGUAGCAUCCAUGGGGCAGCUAAGAGUCAUCUAAAGCCCAUCUGAAGCCCUCUUCUGACAUCUGCAGGCAUGGUGCAUACAUGGUACAUACACACACAUGCAAAACACAUAAAAUAAAAAAAUAUAAAAUUUAAGAAGAAAAUGCCUACCUGACCCAGGCUGUUGGCCUGACUUGUAUAUUCUGAUUCCUUGAAAGUCUGUGUGGGGCUAGGGUGAGCAAGCAGACACCUGGGAUGUGACAUUUCAAGGAGGUACCACAGUCUGGCUCAGUCUCAGAACAAGGUGAGUGCCUAAAGAUUCAUGCAUUGCCCCUCAGACUGCCCUACUGCAGGUUACCAUAGGAACAGUAUAAUCUAUACCCAUUCAAAAUCAAUACACUUACAACAGAUAGCUGGAUGUUGGGCGGUGUGGUGGAGGAGAAGAAUGUAGGUGGGUGGGGACCUCUGAGGGGUCCUAUAAAAUACAUCUCAGAUCAUUGCAAUCAAAGAGCAAGAGAGCCUGGUAUUUAUCUACCAGCUCUUUACUGUAUCUGGCUCAGAGAGUAAUUCCCCACCAUGCAGACUAGACAUUCUCCCCCAAAGAAGCUAGGGAACCUAGAGCAACAGCCUAUGUACAAGAAUGCCUAGGCCAUAUGGAGUGUAAAAAGGUGUGAGUCAGGGUAUGAGUGACACCCACUUAAAGUUCUUGUGUACUUCAACAAAGAACUGGACUAGGAACACUGAAUAAAGAUUG
rnacentral:lncRNA from 1 species